rnacentral:lncRNA from 1 species
UCUUCGCAUAUACCGCCGCCAACAACCAUUUCCUCUUCCUUCUUCUCGCCUCAACCACGAUCGUUACAAUGGUUGUCUUAGAAAACUGAGACCACAUUUGUGAUCAUUGUGAUCUCCUCUUUCAUUCUCAACCUGAAUCGCAAAUUGAAACAUCUUAUUUCUCUUUGUCAAAAAUCACACCUCCACCUUUUGAUCAAGAUUUCGGCCACCAUGACUAUCACAAAAAAAAAACCAAGACCAUAUUUGGACUCUACGAAACACCCUCUUUCAUUACCUAUGCUCGAAAUUGCCAACCGUUACAUUUUAAAAAAUGGGUUUCCACCAUUAUCGCGGCUGUUUUCUUGAAUUCCGGACAACACGUUCAUCAUCUUGAAAAACUGAUAUCGUUUUUGGAUUCCUCUCGUCGAAACCUUCAAGAAACACUACUCGUUUUUCUGUUUCAGUGAAGUUGAUGUCGGACCCUGUCAGUGCUCCAACAUGUCGGUGAGGCCUUUUCUGAUAACUUGUUUCACUUCGUUUCGAAUAUGUUUAUUCUCUUAAUAUUUUUAUUAAUUAUGUAACAUUGAUUUUUAUAGUCCGCGUAAAUUAGCAAACUUGAAAUUUGUAAGGUUGAAAUAUGAAUUAGAAACUUUUAUAGGAUGUUGUUUGAUUUGAUUUUUGAAGAUCGUGUGAUAAUUGAGUUAUUGUAGAAUUGUGUAUUUGAUGCAUUAUAUGUUUUGUUUAUAUAUAUCCUUGAUAUUGAUAUACGAUAUAAAAUGUGAUGAAUUGUAAUUAUUUGCCUUGUAAUUGAUGUGGUGUGUACGAAUGAUCUAAUAUUAUUAUUAUAUGUGAGUGAAGACCCUUUAUUGUUUGAGAUGACGUAUUAUGAUGAUAAAUUCUGAAUGUAAUGUAUGACUAUGGAAAUCUGCAAUGACGAUGUGUACUCCUUGACUUGUGAUAUUACCACCUUGAUGAAUAUCAUGAAAUGCAUAUUGUGUUUAAUUGAAUAGUGACAAAUUCGACCCGUGCCAAUGAUGGUUCUCUUAAUGGAGUAAGUAACCUAGGACAACGAGGGGAGAAAGUAGUUGUUGAUAAUUUUUGAAGUGGAGAUUAUUUGGCCAUCAUAUAGGUAGGGCCUGACAAGCCUAGUGAUUAUGGGGAAGUACAACUGAAUGAGUCUGAUCGUGGCAGUACGCUGUUGAGCCUUAAGACCAGAUUGUUAGACCUUGGAGGUAUUUAGGUGGGAAAUUCCUAGGUGACUUGGAGGUAGCACUCCAAAUGUCGGGAGCUACCACGCAACACACGUUUACCUCGAUUGUCACAUAUAUGUGUCUCGGGUUGAGUUGAGGGGAUCUAUGAGGACAUGGCCAAUUUGAAUUGUCCGUCCACUUGUGUGGUGGCAUAGUAUCGAGCCUCAUAACCAAGUAUUUCAAAGUUAGAAUGGUACCAAAGAAAGAGGACGAGUCUAUAGUAUAAGAGCAUGCAUAAAAUUACUUGAUUUGUGUAUUUACUUACUUGAUGUUAUGGAUUGUAUCAAUGUUUUACCUUGAUUAUUCUUGUUGGUUGUGAUUUGAUAUGAUACGGUGUUUAAUAUGUUUUUACGUGUUCUUCUCAGUUAUUUUAUACUAUUACAUGUUUUCGAAGCUCACCCCUCGUUGCUUGUGUUUGGCGCUUGCGAGAGCGCAAUUAUUUCAGGAUAUCGAUUGGGGAUCCACGCUCUGAAUAGGUGAUAUUGGGUGGGAGUAAUUUUUCGUAUUUUGUUGAGUUAUGAACAAAUUAGAUUUUUGUAAAUUUGAUUGAUCAAUUGUGUUAUUUUUAUCGGUUAUUCAGAGGUAAAAAUUAUUUGUCUCUAAGUUUAGAACUUGCUUUUAUAUCAAAAAUAUUUAUU